rnacentral:tRNA from 1 species
GAGGGGAUAGCUCAGUGGUAGAGUGCAUGCCUAGCAUGCAUGAAGUCUGGGGUUCAAUUCUCAGUACCUCUA